rnacentral:piRNA from 1 species
UGGUCUGUAAGAGGCUUUUGUUCUGCU